rnacentral:rRNA from 1 species
GACAGAGGGUGCAAACGUUGUUCGGAAUUACUGGGCGUAAAGCGUGUGUAGGCGGUGAGGUAAGUCAGGUGUGAAAUCCCACGGCUCAACCAUGGAAGUGCACUUGAUACUGCUUCGCUUGAGUACUGGAGAGGUUGGUGGAAUUCUUGGUGUAGAGGUGAAAUUCGUAGAUAUCAAGAGGAACACCGGUGGCGAAGGCGGCCAACUGGACAGAUACUGACGCUGAGACACGAAAGCGCGGGGAGCAAACAGG